rnacentral:rRNA from 1 species
UAUAAAAUAUUAAUAUUAAAAAUAUUUAUUAAAUAAAUUUUUUUAAAUAAUUUUAUUUUUACUGUAAAGAACUAAAAUAAUUAUAUUUAAGAAAUUCUAUUUUCCUUUGGUAUCAGGAGUAUUCUAAUAUUAUAAAAUAUUUUUUAUUCCUGAAAAAAGGUCAUCUAUAAAUUUAUUUAUAUAUUAUAACAAAAAUAUUUUAAAUAAAUUUAUUGAAAUUAAACUUUAUACGAACCUUUUGAUAUCCGGUUUCUUUUGAUUUUUAUAAAAAUAAAAUUUUUAAAAAGUAACUUUUUAAAUAAAUUUUUAAAAUAUUAAUAAUUUAUAAGGAGUAAAAGUUUCCAAUAAGUUUCAAAACCAUAAAAUCUUUUAAUAAAAAUUUUACUAAAAAGAUUUCUUUUUUUAUAAAAAAUUAUGAAUACAUUAGUAGAAUAAAAUAAUAAUUAUUUUAUAAACUAGGCAAUAAAUUGAAUGACUGUUUACCAAAAACAUUUCUUACUGAAAUUUAUCGUAAGUAACACCUGCUCAAUGAAUUUUAAAUAGCCGCGGAAAUUUAACCGUGCUAAGGUAGCAUAAUCAUUAGUCCCUUAAUUAGGGACUCGUAUGAAUGGUGAAACAAUUCAAUUACUUUAUUAAUUAAUAUUUAUCAAAUUUAAAUUAAGAAUAAAAAUGUUCUUAUUAAAAAAUUAGACGACAAGACCCUUUUGAACUUUACUUAUGUUUAGCUGGGGCAGCUAAAAAAUUAUAAUCUUUUCUUUUUUAUUUUUUAAUAAAUGAUCCUUUAAAAUUGAACAUAUGAACAAGUUACCAUAGGGAUAACAGCGCAAUAUUUUUUUAAAGCUCUUAUAAAAAAAAAUGAUUACGACCUCGAUGUUGAAUUAGUGUAACUUUACAGAUGCAAUAAUUUUAAAAGUAGGUCUGUUCGACCAUUAAAACACUACAUGAUUUGAGUUCAAAUCGGUGAAAACCAGAUUGGUUUCUAUCUUUUAUAAUUUUUAUUCAGUACGAAAGGACCAAUAAAUUUAUUAUUAAU